rnacentral:lncRNA from 1 species
GCCCAACUUAAGUGAUGAGUCUAUAGACUAUAUGGGAGGAUGUGGACUCAGAUGACAAGGCCACACGUUUUGCAGUGCUGAUCAAUUUACAAGGCUGUUGAAAAUGUUUCUAGAAGUCACCAACAGGUUAAUCCAAGCACUCAUUGCGUGAGAAGUCCUUUAUGAAAGGUUGAUGAGUUCUCCAUGUUCCCACAAUAUUGUCAAGAGAAUUCUGAGGAGGCUCUGGGCUCCACCAGGUCGUCAAAUCUAUGAAUGGUCCAGAAAAGGAAAGAACUUCUGUCCCCACCAAAGACCCUGUGGCCCAACCCAUGAAACUUCCCCUGGAAGGAUUUAAGAGAUGCAAGCUGGCAGAACCUUUUAAUUUCUACAAUUAAAAUAUGAUCAAUAAGGGCUGGGGAUGUAGCUCAAUGGUGCUGCACCUGCUGGCAAGUGUCAGGUCCUGAGUUCGAUUCCUGAUACCAAAAAAAUUAUACAUAUAUAUAUAUAAAAGCAAUAAAUCAGCCAAACGUAGAGUCAUGUGUCACUUAA